rnacentral:lncRNA from 10 species
GGAUCGUCUCGAUCUCCUGACCUCAUGAUCCACCCGCCUCGGCCUCCCAAAGUGCUGGAAUUACAGGCAUGAGCCACUGCGCCCGGCCUGGAGCAGCUGGCUCUUUACGGCAUCUGGGAAUUGGAGCCGAGGGGAGGUGGGGUUGUGGCUCUGAAGCCCAGCCAUGAACAUCCAGGAUUCUCUCUCUCCUUCUUAUAGCUGAUGCGACGAAGUGAGACAAGCCCCAGGUGCCUUUCCCGGCCCUGCACUUUAUUGGCACAGGCUACAAGGCCCAGAGCACAGAUGAAUUUAGAACAGCACCAGGAAGGAGCCAGCCCUGCCCCCCGCUGCGGCCCUCUCCAUGGGGAACCGUCAGGCCUCUCUGCCUACGCGGUCUCUGCAGAUACCUGAUGGGUGUGGAACGCCUCUGCCCAUGGUUUAAUAACUAUUAAAACAGCUGUAAAUGCUUCCCUGGGCAGUCUCGCUUGGCGGCCCCCAAGUACAGGGUGUUGCUUUUAGAAAGUAAAUAAAUCUACAUACAUUCAAUCUCCAAAACACAUCCUGUUCAACGAAGCUUCAAGAAUAGGAUAAUUUUGCUUUGGAAUACAGAUGCACUUCACAGCAUUUCCCCUGCAGCCCAGGACCGAUGAGGAUGUUGCAGCCUUCGGUGGUGUGGAAACGGGUGAGGGGUGAGGCGGCGGAUAAGGACUUGGACAAAUCUUUUUGCAGAGAUGUACGUUUCUGCCUCAGGAAGCUGGUGUAAGGAUAAGAAUGACUCAAAGGUAAGACUUUGUUCUUUUAAACAGAUGGAAGCAGUUUCCUCAGUGAAUUACUGGAACCUAGUUCUGUUCAUUACCUGAAUUGUCCUUUUUUUUCUGUUUGAUAAUAGCUUUUGGUUAUUUUUUUUACACACCACUUUUAGGUGGCAGGCAGUGGUUCAUGCCUGUAAUCCCAGUGCUUUGAGAGGCCAAGGCAGGAGGAUCCCUUGAGUCCAGGAGUUUGAGACUAGCCUGGGCAACAUAGCAAGACCCCAUCUCCACACACACAAAAUAUAUUUUUAAAUUAGCUAAAUGUGGUGGUGCAUACCUAUAGUUUCAGCAACUCGGGAGGCUGAGGCGAGAGAUUGCUUGAGUCCAGAAGGUUGAGGCUGCAGUGAACCAUGAUUGUGCCACUGUAUUCCAGACUGGGCAACAGAGCAAGACCCCAUCUCUAAAGAAAAAAAAAUCCACACUUGUAUUAAGCUAUCCCUCAUAUACAGUAAACCACACACCUCUUAAAUGUACAAUUGAGUGCCUUUUUCCAUAUGUCCCUACCUGUGUGCCAUCAACCAAAUCACGAUAUAGGCUAUUCCCAGCUUCCAGAAUGUUCUCCCAUGCUCCUCCUUACUUCUUCCUCCCCCUGCCACCCUCUGCUGGGUGACCACUCCUUAACCUCUAUCACCAUAGGUAAGUCUGACCUGUUUUUGAGCUUUAUGUGAAUAGAAUGGUAUACCAGUUGUCUUGUUUCUGGCCUGCUUUACUCCAUGUCAUGC